rnacentral:tRNA from 1 species
GGGCCAGUAGAUCAGUUGGCAGAUCGCCACCUUGGCAUCUGCAGGUUUGAAUGCCUGUUGCCAGAAUGGUGGAGGCCAGGGGUUCAAAUCCCCUCUGGUCCA